rnacentral:rRNA from 1 species
GUGGGGAAUUUUGGACAAUGGGGGCAACCCUGAUCCAGCAAUGCCGCGUGCAGGAAGAAGGCCUUCGGGUUGUAAACUGCUUUUGUACGGAACGAAACGGUCCUGGUUAAUACCCGGGGCUAAUGACGGUACCGUAAGAAUAAGCACCGGCUAACUACGUGCCAGCAGCCGCGGUAAUACGUAGGGUGCAAGCGUUAAUCGGAAUUACUGGGCGUAAAGCGUGCGCAGGCGGUGCUGUAAGACAGGCGUGAAAUCCCCGGGCUUAACCUGGGAAUUGCGCUUGUGACUGCAGUGCUGGAGUGCGGCAGAGGGGGAUGGAAUUCCGCGUGUAGCAGUGAAAUGCGUAGAUAUGCGGAGGAACACCGAUGGCGAAGGCAAUCCCCUGGGCCUGCACUGACGCUCAUGCACGAAAGCGUGGGGAGCAAACAGGAUUAGAUACCCUAGUAGUCC